CCUACGGGAGGCAGCAGUGGGGGAUAUUGCACAAUGGAGGAAACUCUGAUGCAGCGACGCCGCGUGAGGGAAUAAGGUCUUCGGAUUGUAAACCUCUGUCAUUGGGGAAGAAAAUGACGGUACCCAAAGAGGAAGCUCCGGCUAACUACGUGCCAGCGGCCGCGGUAAUACGUAGGGAGCGAGCGUUGUCCGGAAUUACUGGGGGUAAAGGGAGCGUAGGCGGGAGAGAAAGUUGGAGGUAAAAUCUAGCGGCCUAACUGGUGGCUGCUUUGAAAACUUCUUGUCUGGAGUGAAUGAGGGGCAGGCGGAAUUCCUAGUGUAGCGGUGAAAUGCGUAGAUAUCAGGAGGAACACCAGUGGCGAAGGCGGCCUGCUGGACUUUAACUGACGCUGAGGCUCGAAAGCGUGGGGAGCAAACAGGAUUAGAUACCCUAGUAGUC
rnacentral:rRNA from 1 species